AGAUUAUGGAGGCUGAAAUUCCCAAGA
rnacentral:piRNA from 1 species